rnacentral:rRNA from 1 species
AUGACAGCGCUGAAUAAAGAUUCUUCGGAUCCAUCUCUAACGAGGCCAUCAGUCCUAUGGUUGGGGAUGGAUUUGGAAACCAGUCUGUUCAAGCAAGGUUGGUGUGGCGGCGUCGGCAUCCUCAUGGUGGACCUGUGUCCUCGGGCUCCGCCGUUGCGACGACGUUUGCUCCAGCGAAGACGUAGAGCUUGUGAGGUAGUCUACGAGCGGAUGCAGAGUGUGGUCUGCGUGGACGACAUCUGGAAGACAGAACAUGUGCUGGAUUCGUGGUUCAUGGAUGGCAGAUACUGUUUCCUCUUUUGGCGUCUUAGUCGUGGUGGGGUGCCAGAUUUGGAGUUCGAUGGCGUGUCUGGGGUGUUGUCCCAGUCUGAUUUGUUAAAUGGCAAUCACUUCACUUUUGGCGAGCCACCUUGGAGGUUCGCAAAGCUGCAUAUCAGCGAUGGAGCCGCGUCAAGCUCGGGUGAGGAGGUGAUUGAUGACCCACAAGUGUAG